rnacentral:lncRNA from 1 species
GGGCCGGAGGGCAGGGGCUAGGCAGGCGCGGACGCUCCGUCCCGACCUCACGCGUGACACUGUGAGGGCCAGACGCCAGCCCCCGCGCCGCCCCCUGUGCCUUUGAGGUUGGGCCCGUUCUCAGACUCCAUCUCCGGCCGGGCCGCGCGCCCCGCGCCCUCGUGGGCUGGUGUCUCGCAGCUGGAGCUGGUGAGCAGGCUGCUGCACCUGCACUUCAAGGAUGACAAGACCAAAGUGAGCGGGGACGCGCUGCAGCUCAUGGUGGAGUUGCUGAAGGUCUUCGUUGUGGAAGCAGCAGUCCGCGGCGUGCGGCAGGCCCAGGCAGAAGACGCGCUCCGUGUGGACGUGGACCAGCUGGAGAAGGUGCUUCCGCAGCUGCUCCUGGACUUCUAGGGAUCUCAGCCGUGGCUGAGGCCACCCCCAGAGGAGCCCCUGGUCCACAGAAGCAGGCCUUGUGUUUCCAGCGGCCUCUGAUAAGAGGCAGGGAAGGACCUGAAGGAUUUGGAGUUGAUUCAAACAAGAUCUCUGGGAGUCUCCAGCCUGUGCAGAAGGGGCAGGACUGCAGUGCACUGCGGGCCUUGGAGUGUCCAGUGGGGACACUGGUGUGGGAAGGGGCAGCACCUGGGGAGUCCCUGCCUCUCCUCCCUGGGACAAUAGUGUGCAUGCCACCCGGGGUCCUACAGGCAGGUGCUGGGAAAGGCCUGGCCAGCAGGUAGCCUGUGUGUUUGACAAACAGCAGCUGGCAGCGCUGCCUCCUGCCCACAUUCCUGCCACCCGACAUCAAAGCUGGCGUGUGACCUUUCCAGCCAUGCGAUAUUCCCCUUGGAAGAUGCUUCCCCAGGCUAUAAAUUUGUUCUCACAAAGCAACAUCAAUAAAUCAAA